AUUGAACGCUGGCGGAAGGCCUAACACAUGCAAGUCGAACGAGUGGCGGACGGGUGAGUAAUGUCUGGGAAACUGCCUGAUGGAGGGGGAUAAAUACUGGAAACGGUAGCUAAUACCGCAUACCAUCAGAUGUGCCCAGAUGGGCUUAGCUUGUUGGUGGGGUAACGGCUAACCAAGGCGACGAUCCCUAGCUGGGCUGAGAGGAUGACCAGCCACACCGUAACUGUGACACUGUCCAUACUCCUACGUGAGGCAGCAGUGGGGAAUAUUGCACCAUUGGCGCAAGCCUGAUGCAGCCAUGCCGCGUGUAUGAAGAAGUCCUUCGGGUUGUAAAGUACUUUCAGCUGGGAGGCGUUACCCGCAGAAGAAGCACCGGCUAACUCCGUGCCAGCAGCCGCGGUAAUUC
rnacentral:rRNA from 1 species